rnacentral:lncRNA from 1 species
AUGUCAGGCUUGGCUCGGUUCAUCUUCAGUUGUUUGACAGCCCCGCAGAGCACACCCUCAAUGUGGUCAUCAUUACCCUCUGCCUCCGCUGCCUCGAUCUCAUCCAGAAGCACAGCAGGUGACACUUCAACAGGAACUACAGAUGGCUCUUUGAUGGAGGGGGAUAUUGAUCUUUUGUCAACGGCAGCCACCUCAGCGAGGCGUGAGAGGGCACUGGAUGGAGUAGAAGAAUGCUUGGGCCGUUUGGAAAGACUGGACAGGCUGGAGGUAGAGGGGAGAGAUGAAGACGCCUCUCUCUUGCGGUCUGGGGGCAAACCGGUGGACGCUGGCUUCAGGAGAGCUGGGUUUGCUUUGGGCUCACUGCUCUGACCCUUCGCUCCAAGAGCAAUGAAAUCACCUGGAGGUGGGUGACCUGAUGGAUGUCGCAGGAUGAUAAAGACGGAUUUGAGGGGUAUACAGGGUUAAUUCAUCUAUUUCUUUGCCAUAAUCGCAGCUAUAAUGUUACCUGAUGGUUUGGUGUGACUAGGUCGCCUUGUUGGCUUUGGUCGAUUCAUUUUGACAGUUUCCAAAAGUUCCAGCUUACUGUAACUGUAUAAGACAUAAACGCCACAAGCUUUUAUUUAUAUUAGACGAAUUACAAUCAUAUCCUUCAAACAACUAGUAAACUACACAAGCUGCGCCGUUUAUUGCUGAUAGCACUGAUUGUUACACUAAGAAAACUGACUAAUUCAUCAUGCUGUGCAGUGUUAAUAAAGCGAUAUUUAUUGCCUUAUUUCAGUGUCUUCUGUACUGUUUACAAGCUGUAUCUGGUCUUUCAGUCUAUAAACAUUUUGGCAGGUACUGUAUUAGCAAAAUAAAAAAAACAUUAGCCGAGAUGUACUUUUUAAAAAAUACCACCUAGUGCUAACAGUAAAAUAUAUUUAUUUUACUGACAUAGUAAGUAUAUAAUAUGAAGAGAAUAUUUAUAAACUACCUUAGUUUAUCAAAGCCGCUGCUACAUGAUUUGCAGUGUGUACUGUGUCUACUUCUGCUGCAGUGGGAGAGUUUCCUGAGAGUGCGACAGCGCCAUCUACAGCACUGGAGACUG